rnacentral:tRNA from 1 species
GCAAACGGUUAAGCAUUUGGCUGCUAACCAAAAGGUUGGCAGUUCAAGUCUGCC